rnacentral:misc_RNA from 1 species
GAUGAAGAACGCAGCGAAAUGCGAUACUUGGUGUGAAUUGCAGAAUCCCGUGAACCAUCGAGUCUUUGAACGCAAGUUGCGCCUCAAGCCAUUAGGUUGAGGGCACGUCUGCCUGGGCGUCACAUAUCGUUGCCUGAUGCCAGUUUCCUCGUGAUGGGUGACUGUGCAGGGUGAAUGAUGGCUUCCCGUGAGCAUUGUUGCCUCAUGGUUGGUUGAAAAUUGAGUCCUUGGUAGGGAGCGCCGUGAUAGAUGGUGGUUGAGUGACGAACGAGACCCAAUCAUGUGAGACCCCUACCGAAUUUGGCCUUCAUGACCCACAUGCGUCUUUGGAACGCUCAUGACGAGACCUCAGGUCAGGCGGGGCUACCCGCUGAGUUUAAGCAUAUCAAUAAGCGGAGGA